AUUUCGAACCAUGACAUGGCUGAGGGUAGGGGUCGGGUGGAUGGAUGAUUCAGGGUUGUAACCCAUAGAGCCCAAAGGGGAAGUGAUCUGUGACCUGGGGUGAGGGUGAUCUGGAAGAUUUUUGGAUGGCUGGAAAGAAAUGGGGAAGUCGAGCUGCCUGAGAGAGCCAAGUUAUUUCCCAAAAGAUUCCUUAGGAGUCUUUCUGUUCAAGACCUCCGUGUGUGUGUGUGUGUGUUUAGGGUUCCCCAGCAAUGGCCCAGGCAUGUGAAGGAAACAAGCUUCUUCAGGGAAUAUUUGUUGAAUGAGUUUUCCUGACUCCCAGGCUAGAACUGUUUUUGCAAUUUCCACCCUCUUUUCUUUCCCCCAGAGAACUCCUAUUCGUCCUUCAAAACCCAUCACGGAAACCCCUCUUGGAGAAAACCCUCCUUCCUUCCCCUCAGGACUUUCCCAGCCACCGUCUCUCCUCCAGUCCAGCCUGAUGCCAUGGGACUGGGGGUUUCUCUGUCCAGCUCUGUUUCUCCCAGACUGGGGUCUGAGGACUCUCAGGACCCCCAACUUUACCUAGCACAGGCUGGGCACAAGUGGGUGACAGGGAGUCUACGCCUAGUGGAAUUAUGUAUUGGGGCAGGGUCAGUGUGAGAAUACACAUCCGCAUGCAUGUCUGUCCAUGUCUGUCCGUACCAACCUUCCCCUUCCACACGGACCUGGGCACAUAGGAGGUGUCUGAGCCUGACACAUGGGACAGAGAGUGGACAUGGCUGAGACACGGACAGAGAAAAGACAAGGAGUCCAGGGGGCUGAAAGCCUUUUGAAAUCAGGAAGUUCCUGUAUUGGCAGAACAAAGCCCAGAGAGGAGCAGGGCUUUCCUCAACGCCACCCAGCAAGUGGACACAGAGCCCGGCCUUGGAUGACACCUCCAGGGUUCUGAACCCUGGACCUCGCUUUAUGCAAGGAGCUGGCCCCACAUUUCCAUGAAUCGGGGAAACAGCACAAGAAGGUUGGCCUGUGGCAGGGCAAGGGUUAAAGGGGUGACAUUGAGGGAUGCCUCAGAGUCAAAGUCCCCUGACCAAGAGGAAUAGAGUAGAAAACACAGAGACAGAGGGUGAGAUCACGCCCCGAUGAGGACGGAGAGAGACAGAGAUGGAGAGAGACAUAGAGGUGGAAAUAUACAGAGAAAGAUAAAUGCAGAGACCAAGGCAGGGAGUGUCGGGGGAAGUAAAGAGGGUGUCCUGAAGAAAGAAGGAUCUGUUCACUCUUACCAGUCUGUCCUCGAAUGAUUUGCAUAAAAUGAGGAGGUGCCUGUCCACACCCCCAAUUCCUCUCUCAGGCCCCAGAGCCUGAGACCUCACCAUGCCCCCAUCAGAGAUGCAAAAAACUAAACACCCAACUAGAAAUCCUUGGGACCUCUCUCGGCUGGGAUCUCAGAGCCUUUCUGUCCCCUACCCCUACCCCAUGUGCUGUCGAUUUUGCAGAUGGGGACAACCUGGGGCCUCCCGGAACUCUGCCACCCUGGGGAAGUUGGGGGAGGGCCUUAGUCCCGGAUCACAACCCCGUCUGCUCCCCAGAAUCCUUUCCUAAGAAUCGUUGAGGACCAAAGUUGUCUUUGCUGACACGUGUUGCUUUUCUCUUUGCCUUUUAUUGUUUCAGAGAAAAAUCAAGUUGACUGUGUCAAGUAACACCCCACCCCUUACCCCCGUCCAGCCAUAGUGGCUCUCUGGAGACACAGGUCACAGGCGGAGGGUCCCCUGAUCAUCCCCAACCACACAGCCAGGGGGACUUGACCCCUGUCCACCCCUGUCUCGUGCUCCCUCAGACCCCCACAAACCGGCCAAGCAGUCCGGGGAGGCUUCCCCUCCACACAACUCUUAGCAUGUGAUUGCAGAUGUGAAAUCAAAACGUUGUUUGUUUUUUGUUUUGUUUUGAUUCUACCCCGUCGGUCCAGUGUCUGCACAGACGCCUUCAUUUCUCUGUAAAUAUGUGACUUGGAACAAAUGUUUAACACAAACGAGAAGUGGUCAUGAAUGCAUGGUGUUGAGAUGUUUUGCACUAUUCUGACUUUUUGGUCUCUGUAAAAAUAUUUUAUUAACAGCAGACAUUAAAAAAAGAAAAACCACACAC
rnacentral:lncRNA from 1 species